AUCGGGGGAGAAGGGCCUUGAUCAGGGAAGUGGCCAAGAACCCAAUGGUCACGCUGACAGAGUUCCAGAGUUCCUCUGUGACAAUGGGAGAACCUUCAAGAAGGACAACCAUCUCUGCAGCUAUCCACCAAUCCACCAAGGCCUUUAUCGUAGAGUGGCCAGACAGGAGCCACUCCUCAGUAAAAGGCACAUGACAGCCCGCUUGGAGUUUGCCAAAAGGCACCUAAAGAUUCUCAGACCAUGAGAAACAAGAUUCUCUGAUCUGAUGAAACCAAGAUUGAACUCUUUGGCCUGAAUGCCAAGCGUCAUGUCUGGAGGAAACCUGGCAUCAUCCCUACGGUGAAGCAUGAGGUGGCAGCAUCAAGCUGUGGGGACGUUUUCAGCGGGAGGGACUGAGAGACUAGUCAAGAUCAAGGGAAAGUCGAACGGAGGACCUUAGACUGGGGAAAAGGUUCACCUUCCAACAGGACAACAACCCUAAGCACACAGCCAAGACAACACAGGAGUGGCUUCGGGACAAGUCUCUGAAUGUCCUUGAGAUGCCCAACGAGAGCCCGGACUUGAACCUGAUCGAACAUCUCUGGAGAGACCUGAAAAUAGCUGUGCAGCGAUGCUCCCCAUCCAACCUGACAGAGUUUGGGAGGAUCUGCAGAGAGGAAUGGGAGAAAUUCUCCAAAUACAGGUGUGCCAAGCUUGUAGUGUCAUACCCAAGAUGACUCAAGGCUGUAGGCUGCCAAAGGUGCUUCAACAAAGUACUGAGUAAAGGGUCUGAAUACUUCUGUAAAUAGGAUGUUUCCGCUUUUGAAUUUUAAUACAUUUGCAAACAUUUUCUAAAAAAACAUUUUUGCUUUGCCAUUAUGGGGUGUUGUGUGUAGAUUGAAGAGGGGAAAAUAAUAUUUAUCAAUUUUAGAAUAAGUAAAGGGGUCUGAAUACUUUCCGAAUGCACUGUACCAUUUUCUAGUUCUGAGUCUCUACUUUUAUCCAAUGUGGAAAAAACAAAACAAUUUAAAGUGGUGACUCAUAAUUCCUGAAUCGUGCCGGUCGGUCACAUAUUUUGUCUCCGUCAGAGAUGGGCUCAUUUAAGAAUUUAAUUACAUUUCCUGAAUUUGAAUUGAAAUAGUUAACAGGAUACAGAAUAGCAACUUGCAUUUGAAAGAAAGGAAAUAGAAUUGAAUUAAGUGAAAUUAAAAUAUAUUAUAUUAUUUUUUUAUGUGUAGUCUAUAGAAAUAUAGAUAUUUUACAUAUAACAUGUCAUUAUGCAACACAGUAAGAUACACCUGCUCUUUCUAUGACAGACUGACCAGGUGAAUCCAGGUGAAAUCUAUGAUCCCUUAUUGAUGUUACUUGUUAAGUCCACUUCAAUCAGUGUAGAUGAAGG
ensembl:lncRNA